rnacentral:rRNA from 1 species
UUUUGAUCCUGGCUCAGGACGAACGCUGGCGGCGUGCCUAAUACAUGCAAGUCGAGCGGACAGAUGGGAGCUUGCUCCCUGAUGUUAGCGGCGGACGGGUGAGUAACACGUGGGUAACCUGCCUGUAAGACUGGGAUAACUCCGGGAAACCGGGGCUAAUACCGGAUGCUUGUUUGAACCGCAUGGUUCAAACAUAAAAGGUGGCUUCGGCUACCACUUACAGAUGGACCCGCGGCGCAUUAGCUAGUUGGUGAGGUAACGGCUCACCAAGGCAACGAUGCGUAGCCGACCUGAGAGGGUGAUCGGCCACACUGGGACUGAGACACGGCCCAGACUCCUACGGGAGGCAGCAGUAGGGAAUCUUCCGCAAUGGACGAAAGUCUGACGGAGCAACGCCGCGUGAGUGAUGAAGGUUUUCGGAUCGUAAAGCUCUGUUGUUAGGGAAGAACAAGUACCGUUCGAAUAGGGCGGYACCUUGACGGUACCUAACCAGAAAGCCACGGCUAACUACGUGCCAGCAGCCGCGGUAAUACGUAGGUGGCAAGCGUUGUCCGGAAUUAUUGGGCGUAAAGGGCUCGCAGGCGGUUCCUUAAGUCUGAUGUGAAAGCCCCCGGCUCAACCGGGGAGGGUCAUUGGAAACUGGGGAACUUGAGUGCAGAAGAGGAGAGUGGAAUCCACGUGUAGCGGUAAAUGCGUAGAGAUGUGGAGGAACACCAGUGGCGAAGGCGAC